GGGCUCAUAGUAUAGUGGUAAUACACCCCAUUCGCAUUGGGGAGACGCGAGUCCGAUUCUCGCUGAGUCCA
rfam:Candidatus Taylorbacteria bacterium RIFCSPHIGHO2_02_FTLL_46_13 rifcsphigho2_02_scaffold_13574, whole genome shotgun sequence.